ensembl:lncRNA
GGAAAUUAUUUCAUAAUAGGGUUUAUAAUAAUUGAAUUAAACUGCAUAUUUUCUGGCGUCACACAUUUUAAAUCAUGAGUGUUUAAUGUAACAUUUAUCUUGUGUGUAGCGAUUGUCAUUAAAUGUUUAUGUGCAUGAGCCUUUUUAUUAGAAUUGCUUUAAAUUGUAGAAUUGAGAAAUACGUCACAGGCUGUUCCUGUUUUGGGUGUUUUUCUGCAAUAUUUAUCAUCGUUCUGCUUUUAGACGUUCUUGUAUUGAAUCUUCAGUCUUCGUAAGGAGACUUUAUUCAAAGCGAACAUUAACAUUAAUUCAUAAUUCUGAGUAAAUCUGCCAUGUCUCUCACAUUUUCUCUCAUGGUGUUAUUUCUGCUGUAUCUGAAAGGUUUAUUUGCUCAGAAUGACGCUGUGGUUUUUCACCCUGGAUCAGUUUGUGCUCCUGCAGGAUCAACUGUGGCUCUGGGGUCCAAAUGUUUAUAUCCUGGAUGGACAUUUAAGUCAUGGAAACUCAGAAUAAAUAAUACUGAAACUCUAGCAGAUCCCAGUAAGGACUCCUGGUACAGAUAUAUAUAUUUAUUUGACAGGUGUUACCUAAAAAUUAAUGGUCUAAAAGAGACAGACGCUGGCACAUAUUACAUGAGCUUCAUUAACAGAAUUGGAGACAUCAUCUAUACCUCAAACAGUCAAUCAGAAUUCACUGUACAUGUCACAGAUCUUCAGGUGUCUGUGGACUCUGAUCAUGUGACUGAAGGUCAGAAUGUCACACUGACCUGUAAGACCAGCUGUCCUCCAAAACAAACCUUCAUCUGGUUCAAGAACGGGCUUCGUUUGGAUCUCCGUUAUUCCGGAGAUCAGCUGCAUGUUUCUGAGGUGAGCCGCGAGGAUUCAGGACGAUACUCGUGUGCGCUGAAACGCUUUGAAACGUUCCCGUCGGCCGAGACGCUCCUCGAUGUCACCCAUGCUGUGUAUGAGAGCGCUGCAAUCAUAACUCUGUUGUAUCUCCUGAUUCCUGUCGUUCUGCUGCUGGUUUGUCUAGCUCUGUGGAUGAUAAGGACGAAACAACAAAACCUCAAAAGACUUGAAACGAAAGAGCAAAGCAAACAGAAUGAAAAUGUGUACGAAAAUGAAUCAACACCGCCGGUGACCUCCGACCUGGAGGAGAAAGUAAAGUCAUUUCAUCAGGAGGAGGAAGUUCAGUACUCUCUUGUUCAUUUCAGCAAAUUUAAAAUCGCCGAAUGUUCUGCAGCUUGUGAAAAGGAAGCUGAUGUCCAGUACGCUCAGAUUGCAGUGCAACAUCAGAAAAACAGCAACAAAUACUGAUAUGAUGAGUAAUAUGUAAGGGAUAGUGUACAUCCAGCCGGUUAUCUCAGAAUAAACCCCGACAGGGUGAUCAGGACGCUUGUAUCAGCAUGAAGGGGUUUAUUCUGAGAUAACAACCGGCUGGAUGUACAUUAUCCCGCUUAUUACACGGCUAAAAAGAUUUGUUUUUAUCAUAUAUGUUGAAAUUAAUGCUGAUGUCUUCCAUUGUAACACGCGGUGGUUACGUGGUGUGUUAUUCAAUUUCGGCAGUUGUUAUCUGGGAAUAACAUACCGCUGGAUGGUGCGAUUGACCAAUCAGAAUCAAGUAUUCCACAGAGCCGUGUAAUAAUAGCAUUUAAACCCUGUAAACCCUGACAUAGGAAGUAAUAGUCAGAAAAAAACUUUUUUUUUUUUUUAUUCAACAGAAUUUAGACAAAAUCUAAAAACCUAUAUAUAUAUAUAUAUAUAUAUAUAUAUAUAUAUAUAUAUAUAUAUAUAUAUAUAUAUAUAUAUAUAUUUUUUUUUUUUUUUUUUUGAGCAUCAUAUUUGAAAAAUCAGGAUUCAUAACAUUACACUUACAUUUAGUCAUCUAGCAGAUGCUGCUUUUAUCCAAAGCGACUUACAAAUGAGGACAAUGGAAGCAAUCAAAUCAACAAAAGAGCAAUUAGCUUAGCUUAACGCAGUACACAUAGUAGUAUAUAGUGCAAAUAUUGAGGAACAGCUCAAUUUUAUUAAGAGACUCUAACUGAGCAAAAUAAUUCAAUUUGGUGCAGAUGCUGAUACCUGUAUAUGCACAAAAAGUGAUGCAUUUCUGCUGCUUGUAAUGUAAAUCAAUGAGAUCUUUCUAACAGUAGAGCAGAUACUGACAUAAAAUGAUCUGAAUAUCAGUCGUCGCUCGAUAUCUUCAUUAAUACAUCUCAGUGAGAUGAGAUGUAAAUGAUCCAAACAUAUAAUGCAGUGAUUGAGAGAUGAAGAAAUAAAGGCUCCUCAGA